rnacentral:tRNA from 1 species
AUUUAAAUAGUUUAAAUAAAAUAUAAUAUUGAAGAUAUUAAGAUAUUAAAAUUAAUUUUAAAUA